CCUACGGGAGGCAGCAGUGGGGAAUUUUGGACAAUGGGCGAAAGCCUGAUCCAGCAAUGCCGCGUGCAGGAAGAAGGCCUUCGGGUUGUAAACUGCUUUUGUACGGAACGAAACGGUUCGCUUUAAUACAGUGGGCUAAUGACGGUACCGUAAGAAUAAGCACCGGCUAACUACGUGCCAGCAGCCGCGGUAAUACGUAGGGUGCGAGCGUUAAUCGGAAUUACUGGGCGUAAAGCGUGCGCAGGCGGUUAUAUAAGACAGUUGUGAAAUCCCCGGGCUCAACCUGGGAAUUGCAUCUGUGACUGUAUAGCUAGAGUACGGUAGAGGGGGAUGGAAUUCCGCGUGUAGCAGUGAAAUGCGUAGAUAUGCGGAGGAACACCGAUGGCGAAGGCAAUCCCCUGGACCUGUACUGACGCUCAUGCACGAAAGCGUGGGGAGCAAACAGGAUUAGAUACCCUGGUAGUCCACGCCCUAAACGAUGUCAACUGGUUGUUGGGUGCAUUAGUACUCAGUAACGAAGCUAACGCGUGAAGUUGACCGCCUGGGGAGUACGGCCGCAAGGUUGAAGCUCAAAUGAAUUGAGG
rnacentral:rRNA from 1 species